AUUGAACGCUGGCGGCGUGCUUAACACAUGCAAGUCGAACGAGACGAUUGAAAGCUUGCUUUCGAAAGUCGAGUGGCAAACGGGUGAGUAACGCGUAGACAACCUGCCUUUGAGAUGGGGACAACAGUUCGAAAGGACUGCUAAUACCGAAUGUUGUAUAUUUUCUACAUGGAAGAUAUAUUAAAGAUGGCCUCUAUUUAUAAGCUAUCGCUCAAAGAUGGGUCUGCGUCUGAUUAGCUAGUUGGUGGGGUAACGGCCUACCAAGGCGACGAUAAGUAGCCGGUCUGAGAGGAUGAACGGCCACAUUGGGACUGAGACACGGCCCAGACUCCUACGGGAGGCAGCAGUGGGGAAUCUUCCACAAUGGACGAAAGUCUGAUGGAGCAACGCCGCGUGAGUGAAGAAGGGUUUCGGCUCGUAAAGCUCUGUUGUCGGGGACGAAUGUGCAUUACUUGAAUAAAGUACUGUAAUGACGGUACCUGACGAGGAAGCCACGGCUAACUACGUGCCAGCCGCCGCCGUAACAC
rnacentral:rRNA from 1 species